rnacentral:tRNA from 2 species
GGGGCCGUAGUCUAGCUUGGAUUAGGAUGCCAGCCUGGGGAUAACUCCCUAACCACCAGAGCGCUGGUGGUCCCGGGUUCAAAUCCCGGCGGCCCCACCU